rnacentral:lncRNA from 1 species
ACUCUGUCUGUGUCUUUGGAAAAAGUCUCGUAUGUAUACUUCAUAAAGAGAUUGAUUUUUUCAUGUCGUGAAUAUAAUAUAUUAAUGUGAAACAGAUAAGGUGGAGCUCCACCCAUAAGUUUCAUGAAGGCACUUGAGGGAACAUCAAAGCCAAAAACUUUUUAUUGAUGGGUGAGUUGCAUCAAGUCAGUAAGCAAAGGUCCUUUGAUCCACAGAAUACAAUGGCUGGAUGGCAGUGGGAAGUUAAAAGUUAGCUAUAGCUAGCUAGGAGGCUAAGUGGCACGAGGAACAAGUUGGUUGGCACGGCUGGCGGUGGCCCGGUGACUUAAGGGGUUCCUUCUUUUGAAUUACCAUGGGACAAGACACACAGACACACACACCCUGCUUUAACUUGGUACGAAUUAAAUGCCAAGGAAAAUGCUCUGCCUAUUUUGCCAUUACAUUGAAAAGAUGCUCUUACUUUUCUAACCAAUAAUGAUUUUCUUUGACAGAUUUUCACAAUGUAGUGGACUUGUUCUUCCCCCAUCUCCUUCAUUAUCUAUAUAAAAUAAAUAUACUUACAUAACCAAAUACUUGCCCAAAGUUAAUAUUACCAUUUACCCAUUAUUUGAUGUUAUUAACUCAAGAAACUUUACAUCGGACAGAGAAAA